GAGAACAGAGCCGCGGGUGUCGUCGGAGACAGAACUGGGAGCAGCUGCACGGGGCAGUGCUCCUCCCCCGGGGGCCCCAGUAAAGGCCCCCAGCUCUGCUCCAGAUCCCAAAGGAAGGUGGCGGAGAACAUGGGGAGGCAGUUCAGCGCCGGGCGGGAGCAUCGUCUCACGGCCAGGCUGACGCGAGAUGUCCAAGACCAGCUCUCCGGGCGUGAAACACCCUCUGUCCCAUCCUUUCCUCCCAACGUGCAGUUUAUCAUUAAAUAGUCACAGGGACGCCUCCCAUCUUCCCAGCUCCUCUGACCGCAGCUGUCCUUGGGGACAGCCGGAGACCAGAGCCCGGAAGCACAUAGAAGGCCCCCGCUGCUCCCCACUGCCCGCCCACCCUGCCAGAGCCACCGCAGUCCAGGGCACCGCUGAGGGCGACGGCCUCGCUUGGACAGAGAGGUGACAGGCUUCCCUGAGUUUGCGUCCCACGGACCUCGGUCUCCCACGGUACUUGUGCAGCAGGAAGCCCCGGAACACUCUCUGGACCAGGGAAGGUGUGGGGCCAAGGGCUCCGGGGAGAGGCCCAGGCCAGCUUUGACCACGCGACCAGCCUUGACCUCUGCCUGCUCUGCGAAUCAGGAAGAAGUGCCCUGACCUCCUCUCCCCCAAACCCCGGCGCCACUACGAGGUUCCCAAAAACACAGAGUGGAGUUCCCCCUGCGGCACCACGGGAUCGGCGGCUUCUCUGGAGGAGCUGGGACGCAGGUUCAGUUUCAGGCCCCGCCCUGAUCCCUGGCCCAGGGCGGCCAAAAAGGGGGGAAAUCCACCAAGGGAUAACGGGGGGAGGAAGACAGACCUCGGGGGACAAGACAAGAGACUUCAAGGGCUGUCUGGGCGAUGCAGGCAGUGAGGGAGCUGCUGACGGAGGAGGGGGAAGGAAGGGUGCUACGUGCCCCGGACCAGACGAGAGACACGCAGAGCAAGGCCGCAUCUGCCGGAGCCCAGGGAGGCCCGGCCCCCGGGCAGCAGGCAGAGGUGAUGGGGGGAGGUGUCCCUCGGAAGCCACCUCUGCUGGGCAGCGCACUCUGUGCCGACCACGUGGGGAUCCACGGACUGACCUCGUUCUCAUCGAGAGCGUGUAUCCUCCGUGGGAAAACCAGACAACAACUGAGCAAAUAAACACCUACGUGAACCGAAAUGAGAACAGCGGAGCUGGUGCUGAUCGAGGGGAUGCUUCAAAGGGAGGGCUUCGUGGGGACAGGUCCAGGGAGACAGGGCCCAGCCCAUUGGCCGGGGCAGGACCAGGGACCGGCCCGAGGGAGCGUCCUGCGUUUAUCCCACCUCAAUGGCAAGAGAGGCCGCCCCACAAAGGAGACGUAUGGACGGGGGCUGCCGAAGGGACAAGGCCGGCCGGGUGGAAUUAGGGCCAGCGGGAAGCAGAGAGCCAGAGCAGGAAGCCGAGGCUGGGCCCAGCAUCCUGCCAGGUCCUGGCACAUCGUGCUAAAUGGCUAUUUUCCCCGGGGCGAGAGCAGCAGCGGUGCCACGCGUGAGGCCAGGCUCCAUGGGCUUCGUGAACCGGGUCAGCAGACCUUCCUCCCACCUCAGACCCGACGGCCAGAAGCCACGGUCCUUCAGGCUCAGGUUAGGGUGAGUCUGCGCAUCUUUACGAGACAGAGAUAGUCCAGAUGUGAGGGGAACAGAGCCGUCUUUAGAGGUGGGCGUGCGAGCCCGCGCCUGGCGCUGGCGGAGCGUGUUUCCUCCCCCUGGAGAACAGCCCCCCGCAGCCCCACUGGCUGAGCCUGGACGGGACCCCAGGCCCCGCAGGAGAAGCAGGGCUCCCAGGCCUGGUCAGCAGACCAGUGCCUGUGCGGCACCCCCCUCUCCCCACCAGGACCCGGAACCCAGCCGCACCUUAAACACACCUUUCGUUCUUUUUUUUUUUUUUAAUUAGUUGUUUAAUUUCUGCGUUUUAGGGCUGCACUCGUGGCUUAUGUAAGUUUCCAGGCUAGGGAUCGAAUUGGAGCUACAGUUGCAGGUCUACACCACAGCUCACAGCAACGCUGGAUCCUUAACCCACUGAGCAAGGCCAGGGAUGGAACCCGCGUCCUCAUGGAUACUGGUCAGGUUUGUUUCACCACAAAGGGAACUCCUAAACCCACCUUUCUAGCAGGAGACCUGCUGCCCCUGACAGCCCGGCUCAUCCUCCCCCAGCAGACUGGCCAAUGAGCCCUGUCCUUGGAGCCGCCUUUGAGCAGCGCCUUCCUGCCCCACGUUUUCAAUGCCUCUGAGAAGAUCCGGGACCGUCUGCCCAGCUCCCUAGUGAACGGUGAACCGGCAGACCCCAGAACGAACUAGGCUGGGGGGUGUCCUCAGAGCCCCGGGGUUCCUGACACUGUGUGGGGACCAGCUUCCUUCCCCAGCAUCCGUCUGCUGCCUGGCUCGGCCCUGUGGUUUACUAAGGCUCCUGGGCCCUUGGUGGGGGGGGCACCGUGGGACCCCAGGGACCAGAUCGCCCACCUGUCAUCUGCUUUGGCCUAGUCUCCUGUUUUCUAGCUGUGUGCCUGCAGGCAAGUUACUCCGUCUCUCUGGCCCAGGACCGGAGCCCAGGAGCUGCCUUGUGAAGCUGAGACAGGCAUGUGUCAAGCCCUGGGUUGGAACCCGGCUGCCUUCAUUGGUGGGUUUUUCCUUCCAGCCGUGCUGCCUGCAGACAGCAGCGCCCACGCUUCCCAGCAAGCCUGCACAUCCUGCCCACCCCCCCCCGCCCCCCGUUGCCAUGGAGAGAAAGAGGAGCAGAAAGCCAGGCUCAGCACCGAGGCCCACAGCAAACCUGCCCAGGAGGGCUCCCUGCUGGCUCCGGGCAGCGAAGGCUCAUUAGCUCAGGGCGCCCGCAGGCCAUCCUCCCCCACACCUGCCCCGGGCGCAGCCUGCCCCCCAUCUGCAGCCCCCGCCCUCACGAGCGCAGCCCUGCGCAGAGCUGGAGUGGCCCAGAUGCCCUGGGAGGGGGGACCGCCCCCGUGCUCUCCAGUUCUCUGCCUCCGUCACCCCCAGAAAAGCCCCAGCCUGAGCCUGAAGUUGGCCUGAGAUAUGGCUCAACCUGCCAGGGCACCUCUUGCAGGGGCAGGGACCCAUGGGGCCGGGCUCAGAGCUGUGCCCGCACCCGUGACCCCACCAACCACCUGACGGGCAUGCGCUGGUAAACCAGCCAGCCCACCAAGAAUGCGGAACCAUGUCCCCCUUACGGCUGAGCGAACGGAGGCUCUGAGAACCAGAAACAGGCCUCUGGUCCCACGAGGAGGGUCCCAGUCCAGGGCCACCAGGAACCCAAGCUCAAGCUUUUUGUUCUAAAGGACUGUCUCCCCCAGUCUCUAUUUUUGGGGCGGGCUGAGCAAUGGCUCCCAGAACCCGCGGAGGGGACCCUUUAAAGAGGAGGAGCCCCUGCCGACGUGAGGAAGGGCGCCGACACGCAGAGAUCCGCCUGGAUUCUCAGGGCCUAAAUCCCCACCUGGAAGGACAAGGGGAGGCGGGAGGGUCUGGCCCAGGGAGGACGGGGAUGUGCAGACAGAGGCGUGGAGGGGCAAGGCAGCCAAGGGCCAAGCAGGAGGCCCCGGGGAAGCGGGAGGGACCCUUCUCCGCCCUCGGGGGGCGGCCCACCGGCACCCUGAUGGUGGACGCUGCGGCCUCCAGAACCAGCCAUCAGAGAACACGGCUCUGUUACGAGCCACCCGUUUGCUGCAGCUGCCGCAGGGCAGUGACGUGGAGAAUAAGGCAGCAGCCUCUGAGGAGGAGCGCCGCGCGUCGGUCCCAUUCUGUCGCCUCUCCCUCCCCACGUGACUCUCAGCGGCCAGUGGGCACCCUAAGAGACCCUCGGCGGAGGAGAGCCAGCUCGGUCUGAGCUCCAGGUGCAAACUCCUCCAGAGCAGCUCCAUGCUCCCGUGAGGAUGCGGCAAGGACGUCUCACACGUGACGCAUCUCAAAGGGAAUCGUCCUUGCCCCGCCCCCACCCCUCAAAGCCGCGGCUCUUCCAUUUUCCAGGGGCCGUGGGGUCACUCUGCUUUCUCCCUGCGCAGGGGCCACUGGGAACAAAUCACAGUGAUGCCAGCCCCUAAGCCCGUCUUACCUCCCACCCCUGCUCCAUCCAGCCCGAGACACCCUGGGACACGCGCAGGGCCCUGGUGGCUUCUUCCCUGGUUAGGGCGGCCAGGACGAAGCACUCACAGCCCUGUCCUCUAACAGCUAACUUGAGAUGGCAGGGAGAGAACCAGGAUCGGAGGCAUCGCUGUACAAGGAGGCUGUGCCAUCCUCCCACACGUAAGCUAAGCGUUUCCCAAGGCUGGGCAGGCGCUCGCCAACAGCUCAGCAUGUGGGGUGACAAACAGCGCUGUGCCCGGUGUCUUCCCAGCGUUCGGGGCUGCACACAGACUCUGGCAGCACCCAGGCUGCCUCGGAGCCCCUCUUUCAUUUCCCCCACGAAACGGAUGCAACAGCGAUGCCAGCUUCUGUCUCGAUAGAUGGAUAUCUUCAGGCAGGAACACGGACGUGGAUCCCACAUUGGCUGGAACGAUCGGAGAAGCAACAGGAUUCAGAUUCUCUUUUCCAGACCCAGUGCCCUUGCUGGCUUGGACUGAUUGUCAGCUGAUCUGCUGUAUGCUUGUCUUGUUUCCAAAAGCUACACGUAAAAAGGUGGGCCAUAAGUCAGCAGUACGCCCUGGAAGGAUCCUUGGCCUGUGAGCACUGAAUUUUUUAAAAUAUUUAUUCCCAUAAUCUUGAAAUGCAGGCUCUUCGAAGACACACCACACAGCCUGACUGCCUCCUUUUAGAUCUGCCAGCACAUGGCAGGCUCACACGCCUGCAUCUGAAAGCAGGCACUCUGGGCAGCUGGUCUCCACCGCGUGCGGGCUGGCAGGGGCUGGACAGGGGACAGAUGUGUGCCGCGCCAGGACACAUGGAGAGGCGAGUUCAGCAGGAGCUGCCAGGGGCGCGCGCCAUCCCACGUCCUGUGCGAGGGGGCGGGACCCCGUGUAAGGCCCGGCCCGUCUGCUCUGCCGCCCACUUCCUGCACUUACCCUGCUUUGCCACAAUCGAUCCUGUUCCUUCAAAUCACCCUCGCUUGAUGGACUCCGUUACCACUCGCCAAAACGACAGAGGUCGUUCUUAAAACAUUCAUGUAAAGCUCUAAAAUUAUCUG
rnacentral:lncRNA from 1 species